rnacentral:rRNA from 1 species
GACAGAGGCCCCGAGCGUUAGGCGGAAUCACUGGGCUUAAAGCGCGUGUAGGCGGAGGGCUAAGUACCUUGUGAAAUCCCCGGGCUCAACCCGGGAACUGCUCGGUAUACUGGCCUUCUUGAGGCAUCUAGGGGCGAGCGGAACAAACGGUGGAGCGGUGAAAUGCGUAGAUAUCGUUUGGAACGCCAACGGAGAAAUCAGCUCGCUGGGGAUGUCCUGACGCUGAGACGCGAAAGCCAGGGGAGCAA